rnacentral:rRNA from 1 species
GAUGAACGCUGGCGGCGUGCCUAAUACAUGCAAGUCGAGCGAACAGACGAGGAGCUUGCUCCUCUGACGUUAGCGGCGGACGGGUGAGUAACACGUGGAUAACCUACCUAUAAGACUGGGAUAACUUCGGGAAACCGGAGCUAAUACCGGAUAAUAUAUUGAACCGCAUGGUUCACUAGUGAAAGACGGUUUUUCUGUCACUUAUAGAUGGAUCCGCGCCGCAUUAGCUAGUUGGUAAGGUAACGGAUUACCAAGGCAACGAUGCGUAGCCGACCUGAGAGCGAGGUCGAGCAGCCUGGAUGAGAGAAAGGGCAGAGACAUCGAGAGUGAGAAGCAGUAGAGAAUCUUACGGGAGGGGGGAGUGGGGGAUGGAGCAAAAUGGGGGAAAGGAUGAAGGUGUUAUGACGGUAGAAUGAUGUAAGUAGGAAGGUAGUAAAAUGUAAGUAACUAGGAAGAUAUUGACGGUACCUGAUGAGAAAGCCACGGCUAACUUCGUG